rnacentral:rRNA from 1 species
CAAUAGCGUAUAUUAAAGCUGUUGCGGUUAAAAAGCUCGUAGUUGGAUUUCUGUCAAGGACAACUGGUCCGCCCUUCGGGUGAGCACAUAGUUUGGUCUUGGCAUCUUGUUGGAAACUGUUGCUGCACUUGGUUGUGUGGCGCAGCGUCCAGCACUUUCACUUUGAGGAAAUUGGAGUGUUUCAAGCAGGCACAUGCCUUUGGACACAGUAGCAUGGAAUAAUUAGAUUGGGCUUUUGCUCCAACUUGUCGGUUUCUGGAGCUGAGGUGAGAAUUAAUGGGGAUUGUUGGGGGCAUCCGAAUUUAGCCGUCAGAGGUUAAAUUCUUGGAUCUGCUAAAGACGGACAACUGCGAAAGCGUUUGCCCAGGAUGUUUUCAUUGA